AUUGAACGCUGGCGGCGUGCUUAACACAUGCAAGUCGUGCGGUAACAGGCGUAGCAAUACGUGCUGACGAGCGGCGAACGGGUGCGUAAUACAUGGGAAUCUGCCUUUUAGUGGGGAAUAACCCGGCGAAAGCCGGGCUAAUGCCGCAUAAGAUCUUCGGAUGAAAGCGGGGAGUCGUAAGACCUCGCGCUGAUAGAUGAGCCCACUGCCGGAUUAGCUAGUUGGUGAGGUAACGGACGUCACCAAGGCGACGAAUCCGUAGCUGGUCUGAGAGGACGGCCAGCCACACUGGGACUGAGACACGGCCC
rnacentral:rRNA from 1 species